rnacentral:hammerhead_ribozyme from 1 species
AUCCAGCUGACGAAUCUCAAACGGGAGGAAACGCGCGUCCUGGAU